rnacentral:rRNA from 1 species
CGUAGGGUGCGAGCGUUGUCCGGAAUUAUUGGGCGUAAAGAGCUCGUAGGCGGUGUGUCACGUCGGCCGUGAAAACCUGCAGCUUAACUGUGGGCGUGCGGUCGAUACGGGCAUCACUGGAGUUCGGCAGGGGGAGACUGGAAUUCCUGGUGUAGCGGUGAAAUGCGCAGAUAUCAGGAGGAACACCGGUGGCGAAGGCGGGUCUCUGGGCCGAUACUGACGCUGAGGAGCGAAAGCGUGGGGAGCAAACAGGAUU